GUUUUCAUAAGAAAAAACGGAGAAGCAUAUUUUGAUUUGAUUUUAGUUUAGUUGUUGAUUUUCUUAAGCAUUUAGUUAUUGAUGUUAUUGGCUGUUCAUUGAGAAUUUUUAUUUUGAUACGAUUUAAUUGCUUUGUAAAUCAGGCUUUACCAUCUUCCGCAAUUUUCCAUGUUGAAAUGGCUAUUUUUGUGUUUAAUGUAGGGUUUAGAAAGAAUGCAAAGAGUUGGAGAAUGAUUUCUAAGUUAGUACUGAUUAUAAUUUGUUUUAUUGAUUUGCUGAUUAUUAUUUUAAUCGUGCAACUGAUAUUAGGUUAAUGCGAUUAAGGUUUUCUCCCGUAAACACAUCACAAUGUCAAAGGUGGGUAUUUUUUAUUCUUUCAAGCUGGAGUUUUUGCUGCAAAUUCUGUUUUGUGAUAUGUAGAUGUAAUCUUAGGUUUUGAUUUUGUGGUGGAGAAGGAUAAUCCUUUGCAGUGUCAUAUCAUGGGUAAACAAUUUUUUUUGCCUUCUAUGAAAUCCUGUUUCAUAUUAAAUCAUUUUUGACUUUUUUUAUGGGGUUAAUAAAAUUUCAGUUUUAAAUUUUGGUUUGGUUUGUGUUUUUUAAACUUUAGUUUGAUCCGAAAGUGGAUCAGGGAUAAUUUUUGUUCUUGACAGCAGAAAAUGACAAUUGAAUAGUGCAAUGGGCUUCAGUUGAGGUAUUCUAUUGUGCACUUAAUCAUAGGUACCAUGGUCCAAUGAAAUACCAGACUUACUUUAGAAAAGAACCAGGCUUGCCAGGAAGUCAGGCUUUCUAUUUUGCUCCAUAAGGCAUUUCAUAUGCAAUUAAGAUCUGUUAGACUUCGUCACAGUUUACUGAAAUGGGGCUACUAAAGUUUUGAUCUGGAUUAGAGACGACAAGGGAAUAACUGUGUCAUUGUGUUUGCAGUUGUUGAUUGAAUUGGUAAAGCCAUGGAUAUGAAAGUUAAGAUGAAUUUUGCCAUCGACAAUGUGAAAACGUGUGUGUAAAUGGUUGAAUGUGGAAAUCAUUGCAGGGAAGGAGAAGUUCAGUAUUGGAGUGUAAUAUGCUCUAAUUUCUUGUUUCCUUCGCGGCCAAGCAAGUUUUUAUACUAGAAUAAUGACAUUACUUUCAUAUCUCACAUAAUUUUCUUAAAACAGAAUAUGGUGGGUACAAAUUGUAGCAGCGGUGGAGAAGUUCUGCCAGCAAUCAUAAACAGAAACAACUGUAUACUUUUUGGAGAAAAUGUAUGUUGAUAUUCAAGUACGUUACACACUAUCUAUUAAAUUGGGUUUCUUUUGUGCAGGUGUUAAUGUAUUGAAGAUGUUGCAGGGUGCUUAUUCAACCUAUAGGUCUUAUACAAUUUUAUCAUUUCCAGUAUGAAUUAGAUUUUUUGUUGCUAAGAACGCGUAUGAUGUUUAUGAUUUUUUUUUGAGUUUAAAUCGCUACAAGGUUGUUGUAAUCCUAAAACCCACCUCUUACGUAUAUAAUUAUAAUGUUUUGGUUCUGCUAUUUAAAAGUUGAAUCCUCUUUUCUUCUUUGCUUUGUUUUCAGGUCCAAAAGCUGCACUAGAGUCGCAGAAUCUUCAAGGUGUUAGGGUGGGAGAUUACAAGUUCGUAUAAAAAGUCAUCAGAAGUACAUUAACCUGAUGCAUAUUUGGUACUGAAAUCUGGAUGGUGGGUGUGGUGAAUGAUGCUGGUGUUGGGUGGUGCUGGUGAUGUUGGUGGAACUAUUCUGAAACACCUUAUUUUUGUGAUAAUGAAAUGAAAAUUCUGCUUGGAUAUUUGGUAUUACAGAAUACUUGGACAACAGACUAAUAUGUACUCUCUGGGUAUCAUGCGUUUACUAAUAAUAACAGUGAACCACCUAUGUUUUAACUAAUUGUGUAGAUCGGGCAAUAGAAAGGGCACACGGUUGAGAGAUGUUGACGCUUACAUGUCUAUUUAGCCUAGCAAUUGAAGUGGUGAUUGCCAAGCUUGCAUGUAUGCCGAGUAUAAGAGACAAAAUAGUCCAGAAUUCCGGAAGAUUGUCUAACCUGAGCUCAAUAAAUUGGGAGCACUUGGUGAAAAUAACAUGGACCACAUAAUGAUUGUUGGAACUGGAGGAAGAGACUCGUUAUCUUGCCACAACAAGUUUUCUCCAUUCGCAAGGUAACUCCUUUUCCGAUGACUUUUUAUACGGAAUUGACACUAUAUUGUUUUCUUAUGUCCAUUUUCUUCAUUAUUUACUGGCCGCGAAUAUUUUCAAGCUCUGAUUUUUAGCAAGGGCGUUUGUUGGAGCGGAAAGUGACACAUACAAUACUCAUACUCAAACAGAUGAAGCACUCAAACAACAGAAUGAGUCUUCCGAACCUGCUGCUCUGGUGGUUACAGACAUUCAUGGUAAUGGUCAUUACUGUGCCUAAUCAACCGACUUUGAUGAAAUAAUCAGUUAUGCCAGACAUUUUCAUGCUGAUUUCACUUCAUGUUGAAAAUGCGGGUGUUCAAACUGUUGACAAGGAGGUGAACAAGGCAGAUACAAUUUCAAUCAUGAAAAUGAUAAGUGUUCUUACGGGACAAGGAGUUGGGCAGAAUGGGCCAGUACAUGCAUUGCAAAAAGGACACGAAAAGUCUGCUUUGGAGUCCAGCGUGUAACACAGAUUGCAUGACAGAGCCAAGCAUUAUAAGGGAGGAUGGGGGUCGUGGUUUUAUACGAAUAGUUGAGUAUGAAGAUGAAUUUGGUAAUUCAUCUAAAGGGUGAAAACUAUGUAAGCAGUGAGACUCCUAUGCAGUGGUAAGAACCAUUAUGAUCUACUCCGAGAGAGUUUAUUAGAUGUAUUCAGGAAAUAGUGUACUCCUUGAAUUGUUCUCUGCAGGAAAUUGCUUGAGAUGUACUAUUUGAAUUUCUAUAUGCGGGAAAUUGCUUGAGAUGUUUGCUUCAUCCAGGGGAUGAUAGUUCGCGAUGAAUUGACUGCGUGAGAGAAACAAAUGGAUGUACCCGUGAUUGUCUUGGGGUACUAGAAUGUUAGUUUGGCUAGUCGUGAAAAGCAAGUCUUGAUAUACAACGGACAGAGCACGAUCAUCAUGAGGACAACGAGAGAGGAAGGAGAAACUGUAAUAUAUUUCGGUUUAUAUAUACUGGAGAAUUUCGACAAAGGGAGAUAUUUAGUUUACCAUGUGGAUUAAUACUGCAUUAAGGGCUUGGUAUGGUAUUAAUCCGUACAAGAAAGGUAUGUUUAGUGUAAUUAUUAAGAUCUUAGACUACCAAAAAAUUAAAUGGAAAUUUGUAGUUGAAUGUUGUAAUUCGAUUGAAAAUUGGAUUUAAAUGUAAACCUCAAUAUUGUAAAUUAA